ACUUUCGAUGGUAGGAUAGAGGCCUACCAUGGUGGUAACGGGUAACGGGGUGUUAGGGCACGACACCGGAGAGGGAGCCUGAGAAACGGCUACCACAUCCAAGGAUGGCAGCAGGCGCGCAAAUUACCCAAUCCCGACACGGGGAGGUAGUGACAAUAAAUAACAAUACGGGGUUCUUUCGGAUCUCGUAAUUGGAAUGAGUACAAUUUAAAUCUCUUAACGAGGAACAAUUGGAGGGCAAGUCUGGUGCCAGCAGCCGCGGUAAUUCCAGCUCCAAUAGCGUAUAUUAAAGUUGUUGCAGUUAAAAAGCUCGUAGUUGAAUUUCGGGAUCAAUAUGUUGGUCGUGCCUUGGUACGUACUGGCGUCAUUGGUUUCUACCUUCUGAAGAACCUCGAUGUCAUUAAUUUGGUGUCUUGGGGAAUCAGGACUGUUACUUUGAAAAAAUUAGAGUGUUUAAAGCAGGCUCACGCUUGAAUACAUUAGCAUGGAAUAAUGAAAUAGGACGUUUGAUUCUAUUUUGUUGGUUUCUAGGAUCGACGUAAUGAUUAAUAGGGAUAGUUGGGGGCAUUAGUAUUCAAUUGUCAGAGGUGAAAUUCUUGGAUUUAUUGAAGACUAACUACUGCGAAAGCAUUUGCCAAGGAUGUUUUCAUUAAUCAAGAACGAAAGUUAGGGGAUCGAAGACGAUCAGAUACCGUCGUAGUCUUAACCAUAAACUAUGCCGACUAGGGAUCGGAUGAUGUUAAUUUUUUAAUGACUCAUUCGGCGCCUUACGGGAAACCAAAGUGUUUGGGUUC
rnacentral:rRNA from 1 species